UCUUUGCUUACCUGCUUGCUCAUUAGAAGUCACAUGCUGGUCACAAGAUGUUUGCUUCAGCUGCUUGUAUCUUUCUUCAUGGAAGGGAAAUGUUCAGCUGCUUGUGCUGCUUGGUGUGCUGAAGCAUGUCACCAGCUGUCUAACCUCAGCUUUGUCUUUUGUGGGAGAAAACCCUCACCUGAAACAACUUCUUAUGUUAUCAAACAUCAUCUUCUCUCUUCUGGUCGUCCAUAACCACAAGAAAAUCAGAGAGAAAGAGAGAAAGAAAGAGAGAAAAAUCUGCGAGGAAAAUACAUGAAAAAUUCAGAAAAAAAAAUAAGAGAAGAGAAGUGAGCUUGGACGACCCUUUCUCACCCUCUUCUGACUUUAAUCAGUGAGUAUUGGUGUGGUUAAGAGCUGAAUAUUUUGUGUCCUAAAGUUCAGAAUCAUCCAUGUUCUUCAGCCUUUGGGUUUUGAUCGGUUAGGAGUGGCUUCAACGAUAAGUUGUGUACCAUCUGAAUUCAGAAGAUUGUUGAUUUGAAUCGUUACCCGAGGAGAUUGGAAUGGUCAGCCCGUCAUGCCUUGUCUUUAUUCUGAAUAUGGAAGUGAAGAAGAAGUGGAGUGUGAUUAGCUUGAGCUCGAGUCUAGUCUUCCUUAGCCAAUCUCUUAGACUCAAAGGUGAGUCUAGAUAGAUGAGUAAUGAGUAGUGAAAAAAUAUUUCUUGAUUGAACAUACUGAAUGUAGAUGAUUGAUAGGCUUUGUCUCUUGAUCAAUAUUGAAUUGGCGAGGUGUUUACUUAGUGUAAACACUUAAUAAAUAUUUAUGAA